UACGUAGGGUGCAAGCGUUAAUCGGAAUUACUGGGCGUAAAGCGUGCGCAGGCGGUUAUGUAAGACAGAUGUGAAAUGCCCGGGCUUAACCUGGGAACUGCAUUUGUGACUGCAUGGCUAGAGUGUGUCAGAGGGGGGUAGAAUUCCACGUGUAGCAGUGAAAUGCGUAGAUAUGUGGAGGAAUACCGAUGGCGAAGGCAGCCCCCUGGGAUAACACUGACGCUCAU
rnacentral:rRNA from 1 species